rnacentral:rRNA from 1 species
AUGCCAAUGCUUAUCGGGAUUGUAGUAGUAUUCACCAUUCACGUGUUUGGAGUCUACUGGUGGUACAGGAAUGAUGACCUUGUUAGACCUUUGGUGAUGCUUCCUCCAAAAGAAAUACCACCAUUCUGGCAUGCUAUAUUUUUCAUUGUGGUGAAUGGUAUUCUCUUUUCCCACACAGCAUGA